GGUAAUUCCAAUGUGCAGCCAACUUGGAGAACCAGUGCUGGAUCUUGACAAGAGAUUUUCACAUAUUGAGUUUUUUCAGUCUAUUCCAAAGAGAACUUGACGGGCCGUGUCGUCCAUGUGGAUCAGCCUCAGCUGGGGGAUAUGGCAUCCAGUCAGCAAUCACCAGGCAUCCAAACCAUAUAGGGGGAAGCAAUUGCCUGGGCCUGGCCAAGCACUGUAUUCUCCUGGACUUUUGCAGGGGUUCUUAGGAAAGAUGUUCCCUCCUUCUCUGGAAUUGGGAGCUACCAGUAGACACUUUGCUGUGAUGUGGAGAAAGCCUGACUGAGCAUGAAGCCAGGCAGAGGUAACAGACUGAGAAAUGGAAGAAGGGUGGAGAAAUCCUGAAAACACUGGUGGAACCUCUGGAUCCAAAUUUUCCUGCAGCCAUCUCCAUUUCAGAAUUCCCUGUUACAAAAACAAAUAGAUUUCAUUUUUGCUCAAGCUAACUUAAGCUCAGUUUUUGUCACUUGCAAUCCAAGGGUCCUGACCUUUAACUCUGUUAAAUAAAUCUGUUCAUAUACAUCACAUAGCGUUAGUAAGAUAGAAA
rnacentral:lncRNA from 1 species